rnacentral:lncRNA from 1 species
UAUGAUCGUCCCAAUACCUACGUUGAAUCUCCUGUUGGUACUCACCCUUUGGGAGGUGCUCCAUGAGCCAGAGUUGGAGUAGAAAGUUGCAACACUCGAAGUGUUUGGCUCCCUGUUAACUCUUCUCCAAGGCUCGGUAUAUUUCUGCGAUGAUUAUGGGCACUAUGCUAAAUGGUUCCCACCAAUUCCCUCCAUUAAUAUUUUGGUGACCAUAGCUAGUCAGGUAUGGAUCCUUGCAUUCUUUAUGGGUAACACUAUCAUCCCCAAGAAGUAGAUCUUAAAGACAAAGACCCUCCGAUAGAUAUGUCCUAAUGAUAUGAGUGUGAACUCAUCAGGAUAAGUAUGGUAAGAUUUGUUGUGACCGUACCUCUCGUACAAAUAAUCAAAGGGAAUGUACGACUCCUUCAACCAGGUUAAGUCUAGAUUUUUCUUUAGACCCAUCAUCUUGAGAAAACCUCUACCCUUGUGAUUUUCUGGCAUUAAUAUACCCGUCAUUUCCUAAGGUAUACCAGCCAGUCCUCAUAUUUCCUCUAGCAGAGGUGUCAUCUCAAUGUCUCUGAAGCGGAACAUAGGCCUGUCACAAUCCCAGAAUAGAGUGGUCGCUUCUAUGAUUUUGUUGUAGGGUUGAAUUUCCAGAAGAUGGGGUAGAUUCCCUAGAUAUUUUCUGACAAGAGCCUGAUCAUUGGAGUGAAGAUCCUCCCACCAGCUUAGCAAUUUGGUGUGGAUGUUGGUGACCAUGCUGAAUCUGGGGACUUCUUGCCUCAUAUUUCUGCAAGAAAAAUGUUAGGCGAUUUACCCCUACCGGACUCGACUACUAAAAGUGUUAGGUGACCUUGGUUUUUAUAUGAGAAUGUAGAACCUAUUAACAAAAUUUCUAUAUAAAGUGCAGAACCUAUAAACAUGUUUUUAGAUAAUACAGUAGUGCAAAAACUUAUAAGCAUGGUUUGUAUACGAAAAUGCAUAACUUAUGGACAUGGUUUCUAUAUGAAAUAUGUAACCCAUAAACAUGAUCUCUAUAUGAAAAAUGCAGAACUAAAAGUAGGACAUGAUGGCUGAAACAUAUUAAAUUCUUAUGUACAUUGUAUCUACCCCUUUCAUGCAUGAUGUACCCUCCCCUUUUCACUAAAAACCCCAAUAGAUAUUACAAGAUUAUUGCAACCCAGAAUUGAAUAAGAAAAGAAGUAAAAUUACAUCAGAAAACUAAAAAUUUCCAACUAAGGAGAGCCUGAUUCAGUCUUCUCCCUAGAGCAUGAAGUAAACCAACUCCAAAUAUUGAAUUUUCAAAGCCUUUCUCAUUUUUGGGGAUGUCAGAGUUCCCAAGAGCCUCAUGGACUCCGGGCAGUUCUUACACCCUAAUUCAUUACAUAAUUGAAUUAUAGUGCAGUGUGGAAGGACCAGCCCUCAAAUGUCCAAGUUCAGAGGGAACUCAAGUCCCAAAGCAAGGCUCAUAAGAGGGGGGCAGAACUUAGAAGCUAGGAAAGAGUGUGAGUGCAAUAGAGGGGAUUUUGGGGAAAGCCAAGACAGGACGGUGGUCAUACCCAGCAAUUGGAGGUGCUGGCACCCCCCAACCAACCUGUUAGGCACAUUGUUUGGGAGUUAGGACCCCUUAAAGGAUAAAGUCCAAACAUGAGAAACAAUUUUGAUGUUGUCAUGUUCUGAACUUUAACUUAAACACAUAGAGCGGAAUAGGGGCACAUGGAUUCAUAGCAGCAACAAGUGCAAAGAGAACAACAUACACAUUUAACACUAAGCAUAGAUAACAAAGUAGACAGGAUAUUGGAAGCUGUAAAAAAAUUGGGAUGAGGCUGAAAACUAAAUUAGAACAUACCAGUUUCAUGGAAACAAAAGAAGAAAGUAAUAGUCUUGUGAAGUCAAAGUGCAAACAGAUAGUCAGAAUGCUAUGAUCAAAACUAGGGUGUUGAAUGGAUAGUGUAUGAUUGAAAGUUGGUCAUAUUAACUGUGUAUAAUGUGUUAAAGAAGGUCAUGUAUUUAUAGUGUAGAAAGCAAGAAGAAAUAGGUAGGAGAAUAUUUUUUGAAAUCAAUUCCACAAAGUCUCCCUUUAAAUAAG